rnacentral:rRNA from 1 species
UACGUAGGCAGCAAGCGUUGUUCGGAGUUACUGGGCGUAAAGGGUGCGUAGGCGGCUUUUUAAGUUUGGUGUGAAAUCUCCCGGCUCAACUGGGAGGGUGCGCUACAAACUGUCUGACUAGAGUGUGGGAUGGGAAAGUGGAAUUCCUGGUGUAGCGGUGAAAUGCGUAGAUAUCAGGAGGAACACCGGUGGUGUAGACGGCUUUCUGGACCAUAACUGACGCUGAGACACGAAAGCGUGGGUAGCAAACAGG